AUGCCAUGUUGCUCCCCCGCGCCUCCUCCCGGUCCUCCAGGAAGAAGAGGAUGCAUACGAAGUAAGGCUUUGGCUUUCCUCUCCUCCAAGUUCUUCCAGCAUGAGGUACACAAAGAUGAUGAGGUCAGAGCCUUGUUUAAGCAAGUGCAAGGAGAAGUCCCUGGAUUGCCUAUAAUCAUUAUGAAGGUGGCAUCUCAGGAACCUUCUAUUGAGUUGUUUUACUGGCUUAAUUUGGCCGCUCUUGAGCAUCCAGCAGCUCUGUAUCCGAAGACUGUCACCAUUUGUAAAUACUACGUACUUGUUGCUAUGUAA
rnacentral:rRNA from 1 species